UACGAAGGGGGCUAGCGUUGUUCGGAAUUACUGGGCGUAAAGCGCGCGCAGGCGGCUAUCCAAGUCAGUGGUGAAAGCCCCGGAGCUCAACUCCGGAACUGCCCAUUGAAACUGUUUAGCUUGAGGACGAGAGAGGUGAGUGGAAUUCCCAGUGUAGAGGUGAAAUUCGUAGAUAUUGGGAAGAACACCGGUGGCGAAGGCGGCUCACUGGCUCGUAUCUGACGCUCAGGCGCGACAGCGUGGGAUCAAACAGG
rnacentral:rRNA from 1 species